AGUGAGGUAGCCCGACAUAGAGGAGGAGUAACGAACAAGAACCACAGGCUUUGAUAUAAAAGAAGCAUCGCUACACUAAUCAAUAUAUACCUUUCUCGGCCUUUUGGCUAAGAUCAAGUGUAGUAUCUGUUCUUAUCAGUUUAAUAUCUGAUAUGUGGGCCAUUGGCUCACAUGAUAUUAAAUUUAUUUUUUGAGGGGGGAGUGGCCACCAUAGUAGCUUGCUACUGGUCCUCUCAUGCGUAGCCCAUGCCUUGCACUGUUGCAAGGGCCUGGCGCACCCCAUCAAACCCAGUUUAAAUAUUAAAGCCUCUGGUUCAUGAGCCAAUGGGUGGUAUUUAUGAUUUAAAGCCAUAAGUCUAGUUCUCCGAGAUUGCUUACUGAAAGAACACAGCUGAUGAGUGGCCAAUGAAUAAACAGGGGGCAAACACUUUAUGGUUUUUCUUUUUAGUCGUGCAACAAAAAAUGGUUUAGUAGCAAAACUAAUAGAGUUAUAUUUUGUACUUUUGUUUCAUUUGACUUUUGAAACUAUUAUAUUCCACCACUGACUGGUUCUACAACCAAGUUCCUGGGGUUGAAGGUUGAUCUUGAAUUCAAGGCCAAGUUGUUUUCUGCUGGGAGUAUCUACGAGGCUCCACACUAAUGGUGAAGACAGUGUUGACAGCUGAAGAAUCAAAAGGUGACAUGAUGAGUGGAAGAGAGAAGAGAUUGGUUGGUUGGUGUGGCAAAAGUUGAUCCAAUUGAUGAUUUCCUCUUGAAUUCCUUCCUUGGCAUUCCAACUGAGUGCGUUGCUGACCUGAGUACUGUGAUCUCCAUUUCUGCCUCAUCUUAAAGAAGAGAUAAUAAUCACACUUCGGAAAUUGCUGAAACCUACUUAGUCAUUUUCAGUGUCUGUUCAGUGAAUACAGAACUUCAAAUUGGUAAUAGUUUAGUCAUUCUAGAACUUACAGUUGUGUAUAAACCGCAGUUCUUGUGUCACUAAGGAAUCUAGACUACGGUAAUUUUCUUUUUACUAAUAAAAAGAAACGAUUUUGCAUUUCUAGCCCAUUUAUUUAGGUUGGA